rnacentral:rRNA from 1 species
GUCUGCUUGGAGCUAUAAGAAGUCUAGCCUGCUCUCUGAUGAAUUUAAGGGCCGCGGUAAUUUGACCGUGCAAAGGUAGCAUAAUAGUUAGUUUUUUAAUUGGGAUCUUGUAUGAAUGGUUGGACAAAAGAAAUACUGUCUCUAAUAUUUUAUUUGAAUUUAACUUUUAAGUGAAAAGGCUUAAAUAAAUUAAAAAGACGAUAAGACCCUAUAAAGCUUUAUAAAAAAUUUUAUUUGAUUAAAUUAAAUAAUAAAAUUUUAAUAUCUGAUUUUAUUUUAUUGGGGAGAUAAAAUUAUAAUUUUAAAUAACUGAUUAAGUAGAAAACAAAAAUAUAUGUAUAUAAACUUUAAAUGAUCCUUAUUAAAGAUUAAAAGUUUAAGUUACUUUAGGGAUAACAGCGUUAUUUUUCUUGAGAGUUCAUAUCGAAAGAAAAGAUUGCGACCUCGAUGUUGAAUUAAAAUUUCUAAGUUAUUGCAGAAGUCACUUUAGAAGGUCUGUUCGACCUUUAAAUUUUUACAUGAUUUGAGUUCAGACCGGCGUAAGCCAGGUUGGUUUCUAUCUUUUAAGAAAAAACAAAUUAUCUUAGUACGAAAGGAUUUGAUAAUUAAAUUUAUUUUUAAUUUGGUAA